rnacentral:rRNA from 1 species
AACCGCGACUAGGUGCUUGCACUUGGUCAAGGUGAGUGGCGAACGGGUGAGUAACACGUGGGUAACCUACCUCAUAGUGGGGGAUAACAGUCGGAAACGACUGCUAAUACCGCAUAGGACAUGGAAUCACAUGAUUCUGUGAGGAAAGGUGGCGCAAGCUAUCGCUAAGAGAUGGACCCGCGGUGCAUUAGCUAGUUGGUAGGGUAAAGGCCUACCAAGGCGAUGAUGCAUAGCCGACCUGAGAGGGUGAUCGGCCACAUUGGGACUGAGACACGGCCCAAACUCCUACGGGAGGCAGCAGUAGGGAAUCUUCCGCAAUGGACGCAAGUCUGACGGAGCAACGCCGCGUGAGUGAAGAAGGUCUUCGGAUCGUAAAGCUCUGUUGUUAGAGAAGAACAGCGCAUAGAGUAACUGCUAUGCGUGUGACGGUAUCUAACCAGAAAGCCACGGCUAACUACGUGCCAGCAGCCGCGGUAAUACGUAGGUGGCGAGCGUUGUCCGGAUUUAUUGGGCGUAAAGGGAGUGUAGGCGGUCUUUUAAGUCUGAUGUGAAAGCCCACGGCUCAACCGUGGAGGGUCAUUGGAAACUGGGAGACUUGAGUGCAGAAGAGGAGAGCGGAAUUCCAUGUGUAGCGGUGAAAUGCGUAGAUAUAUGGAGGAACACCAGUGGCGAAGGCGGCUCUCUGGUCUGUAACUGACGCUGAGGCUCGAAAGCGUGGGGAGCAAACAGGAUUAGAUACCCUGGUAGUCCACGCCGUAAACGAUGAGUGCUAAGUGUUGGAGGGGUUCCACCCUUCAGUGCUGGAGUUAACGCAAUAAGCACUCCGCCUGGGGAGUACGGCCGC